GGAAGUAGCUCAGGGGUAGAGCGUGUACUCAGCACGCACGAGGUCCUGGGUUCAAUUCCCAGUCCUUCCA
rnacentral:tRNA from 1 species